CGCGUAGGCGGCAGGCCAAGUCGGGAGUGAAAGCCCGGGGCUCAACCCCGGAAUGUCUUUCGAAACUGGCCGGCUCGAGUGCGGAAGAGGCAACUGGAAUUCCCAGUGUAGCGGUGAAAUGCGUAGAUAUUGGGAAGAACACCUGAGGCGAAGGCGGGUUGCUGGGCCGACACUGACGCUGAGGCGCGAAAGCCAGGGGAGCGAACG
rnacentral:rRNA from 1 species